UACCCAAUCCAUUUUGGGUAACCCUAUCAUGACUGGCGUAGACGGCGACGUCCGGGUCAGAAAGCUCAUGAGACAACGUGGAGAGUCUGGCAGCCUGAGCCGGGCCGACUGCCAGGGUAAGAAUGCUAUGGAG
rnacentral:ncRNA from 1 species